AGGAAUAUUGGUCAAUGGACGCAAGUCUGAACCAGCCAUGCCGCGUGCAGGAAGACGGCUCUAUGAGUUGUAAACUGCUUUUGUACGAGAGUAAACGCUCUUACGUGUAAGAGCCUGAAAGUAUCGUACGAAUAAGGAUCGGCUAACUCCGUGCCAGCAGCCGCGGUAAUACGGAGGAUCCAAGCGUUAUCCGGAUUUAUUGGGUUUAAAGGGUGCGUAGGCGGUUUGAUAAGUUAGAGGUGAAAUACCGGUGCUUAACACCGGAACUGCCUCUAAUACUGUUGGACUAGAGAGUAGUUGCGGUAGGCGGAAUGUAUGGUGUAGCGGUGAAAUGCUUAGAGAUCAUACAGAACACCGAUUGCGAAGGCAGCUUACCAAACUAUAUCUGACGUUGAGGCACGAAAGCGUGGGGAGCAAACAGGAUUAGAUACCCUGGUAGUCCACGCAGUAAACGAUGAUAACUCGCUGUCGGCGAUACACGGUCGGCGGCUAAGCGAAAGCGAUAAGUUAUCCACCUGGGGAGUACGUUCGCAAGAAUGAAACUCAAAGGAAUUGACGGGGGCCCGCACAAGCGGAGGAACAUGUGGUUUAAUUCGAUGAUACGCGAGGAACCUUACCCGGGCUUGAAAGUUACUGACGAUUCUGGAAACAGGAUUUCCCUUCGGGGCAGGAAACUAGGUGCUGCAUGGUUGUCGUCAGCUCGUGCCGUGAGGUGUCGGGUUAAGUCCCAUAACGAGCGCAACCCCUACCGUUAGUUGCCAUCAGGUCAAGCUGGGCACUCUGGCGGGACUGCCGGUGUAAGCCGAGAGGAAGGUGGGGAUGACGUCAAAUCAGCACGGCCCUUACGUCCGGGGCUACACACGUGUUACAAUGGUAGGUACAGAGGGCAGCUACCCAGUGAUGGGAUGCGAAUCUCGAAAGCCUAUCUCAGUUCGGAUCGGAGGCUGAAACCCGCCUCCGUGAAGUUGGAUUCGCUAGUAAUCGCGCAUCAGCCAUGGCGCGGUGAAUACGUUCCCG
rnacentral:rRNA from 1 species